GAUGAACGCUGGCGGCGUGCUUAACACAUGCAAGUCGAACGAGAAGUGAAGACGGAAACCUUCGGGCGGAAGGCUUUAUUUCGAGUGGCGGACGGGUGAGUAACGCGUGGGUAACCUGCCUCAUACAGGGGGAUAACAGUUGGAAACGACUGUUAAUACCGCAUAAGACCACAGCACCGCAUGGUGCGGGGGUAAAAACUCCGGUGGGAUGAGAUGGACCCGCGUUCGAUUAGCCAGUUGGCGGGGUAACGGCCCACCAAAGCGACGAUCGCUAGCCGAUCUGAGAGGAUGGCCGGCCACAUUGGGACUGAGACACGGCCCAAACUCCUACGGGAGGCAGCAGUGGGGAAUAUUGCACAAUGGGGGAAACCCUGAUGCAGCGACGCCGCGUGAGUGAAGAAGUAUUUCGGUAUGUAAAGCUCUAUCAGCAGGGAAGAAAAUGACGGUACCUGAGGAAGAAGCCCCGGCUAACUACGUG
rnacentral:rRNA from 1 species